rnacentral:antisense_RNA from 1 species
CUUGAUCGACCCCAGCCACAGCGGACGGUCCCCGGGCCGGUCCUUGCCGUAGGUGGCGAGCAGCGCCUGCGCCUC